rnacentral:rRNA from 1 species
GACGAGCCACACGAACGUUAUUCGGAAUUACUGGGCUUAAAGGGUGCGUAGGCUUGCGCGGAAAGUUGGGUGUGAAAUCCCUCGGCUGCAACCGAACGGAACUGCGCCCCAAAACUUGCCGUGCGUCGAGGAAGAUAGAGGUAAGGCGGAACUUACGGUGGAGCGGUGAAAUGCGUUGAUAUCGUAAGGAACACCUGUGGCGAAAGCGGCUUACUGGGUCUUUUCUGACGCUGAUGCACGAAAGCUAGGGGAGACAA